CACAGAGCAUUCUCCAGGGCAUAAGAAAGGGGAGGAGAGGAGGGAACAGAAGAGACUGCCCUGCCUCAAGACAAAUGCAGGGUGGAGCUGGCAUACAUCUUAAUCUCAACAACUGUUUCCAUCCUGAUCAGCCCAUGGUAGCUCUGGUGAGGAUACUUUGCCUUUUGUCUGCGCACUGUGAGAAAAUGCAUGGAAACAUUAUCCUCUUGGUUUUCUCACUUGAAGGAGAGGGGAAUUAGCUGUGUUUAUGUUUACCUAGGAAAUAUACCAGAAUGGAUUUCAAUUAUUGCCAAGAAAAUGUGGAACUCUGUGAUAUGAAGUUAGAGAGUUGUAUUUUCAUGGCGUAUUUUAUGUGCUUGCAUUCUGAACUUCUUCUGAAGAGUUCCUUCUUGAGAAGUCUCCCAGGAAGUCCCCUCCCAUCACAGAGAGCAUGGCAGGGUUUUUAGGACCUUGGAGGAGGUCACCUACUACAGUACUAAGCGCUGCAUUACUGAGCUCUGCAGCUCCUCGUUUUUGUUCCUCAGCUUCAUGUUUAGCUUGGAGACCAACCGAGAUCUGCUGAAUUCAGCUGGUGAUAGUUGGGGGGAGAGAGCUGUGGAAGCAGAGGCAGCGAAGGACAAUUGAGAGGAUUAAGUGAGUGAGCAUUUAAAAAUAAAAAAAUACUGCAACGAACAGAUCAGCCAGGACAGAACCAUGUGCUGAUGGCAUAACUCUGCAUGUUAUCAGUGCAGUUCUUGUUCUGCCUCAGUCCUUCUCAGGUUUCUGUAUCUCUCCUAACGCAGUAAGGGCAUGCCCACCCUGCUGCUGUAGAUGUAAUCGCGCUUUGCAGGGGCUUAACCAAGCCGGACUGAAACAUGCUGGCUGGCAGCAUGGCCACAGCAGUAUCCAGUGCAGUGAAGGCUGCCAAGUAUGCUGGGGGUGAGGGCAGAUAAGAAUUCAGAUGGGUUUUGCAGUGGACCCUGAUUUCUGUCUUGCUGUCUCCAUGCUGGUGUACGUGUCCAAUGAAUGUGGGCCUGCAGGGCUGUCCUGGUCCCCUACUUGCAAGGACAGGUGUUGAAAGCACUAAGCCCUUGCCUAAUCCUGUGUUUGCUGACGUCAGUGGGGAUUGUCAUGCUGACAUAAAGGGUUUGGUCUGCUGCCUCUACAGCAGUGGCAAAGUGUGUCAGGCUGCUGGGCUCCCCACAGCUGACAGCAUGGGGGACGACGUGCUGUGUGCAGGCCAGUCAGUUGGGACGUGGAGUGGCAAGCCAGCAUUGCCUUGACCUGAUGAACCAGAUCAUCUGGAAACACUUCAGCAGGACACAUCCAUGCGCAUUGCUGCUUAAUCCCAAGCAAGUCUGAACUGCUUUCCACAUCCCUAUGGAUCCACUAUCACUGUCUUCUGGCGCAUGAGCAAUUUACAGCAUAUAUCUGCAAAGCGUUAAUCAUCAGUGAGUAGACUUGUCCAACUUGCUACAGCAAAGCUGCCUUUAUGUAAAUUAUCAUUUAUUUUAAAUAAAUGAUUGGAAAGGAAAUGGAAAAUCAAUUUACCUUCUAGCUAUGAGAAAAUGUAGCAUAAAAUCUAGUCACUGCAUAUAUAAGAAAAGCUGCAUAGAAGUAGUCACUGAAGAGCAGGCUGGGACUCUGAACAGAUAUGAAUUGGGCAUGAUUUUCUUCAUCUUAGUAUCACUGGUCAUGGUAAGGCAUUGUGUGGUAGAGGCAAUGAUUCGAUUGUUAAAUGUCAGUUUUUAAAAUUGUAUGUCUGAUAACUGUUAUGUGGCAUUGAACAGACCAUGAACUGAGAAGCUUUUCAUGUGCAUGAGUUGGCAUAAACAUUGGAUUCAAGGGGCUUUGGUAAUACUUUGUAAUCCAUUUUGUGAGAGAAGGGAGAAUGAAUGAGAGUCCUGAACAAACCAGAUAUCCAUUCUUUGUAUUUCACCUACACAUACAGCAUGAGACCAUUAUGGACAUAGCCAAGGACAGAUUGGCCCUUUAGAAAAAAUCCCUGAUCAUCCAGCUGCUGCCUGUGGAGGUUCAAGCAUGCUAGCUCAAACACAAGAGGUGUGUAUAUUUCUGAGCCCAAUUAGCUGCCCAUGAAUAGAGAGUUCCAGAGUUCCGAUUCUGGCUCUAACAUCAACUGAAUUUCUGAAGAUCUUGAAUUUCAGUCAGAAGCAGCAAUAACAGAGUUCAUAUGGGCUGAGGAAACAAACAGGGUCAGUUUACCAGGAGCUUCAAGCCUGCCUGUAGGAGUUACAUCACUGGUUUAGAUAGAGUGCUGAAGAACUUGCCAAUGUUUUCAUAUCUGAUUAACAUCAAAGUGAGAUAGGAGAAGGUAUCCUCAGUUUCUGCUUUAUCUGAAACAGUUACCCCUAUGCCAGAGGCUUUGAGUUUUUAAUUUGCUGCCCUAAGAGUACUCAGAAAGGGUGGGACUGAGAAAGCUUUUCCUCAGAUAGAGAGCAUCAGUAGAUAAGGCUGAGCUUGUUCUUUGAGGAGCCCUGCAAGGCAGGCAUAAAGAAGGGGCUGACUCCUUUGCAAGUCAAAAUGUGGGCCAUAUUACCACUUCAAAUGAUAAAGGAAAGGCUUUCAGAAAUAGCAGUAAAAUAAAUGGUGGGGAUGAAACAAAACAGUCUUUACAAAUCCAGGAAGGAAGGGAGCCCAUAGCUCUUACACACUGGGCUAACAUUGCUUAGUUGCAUCUUUCUAUACCCUGACAAGAUUUCUCUCCAUCUUGACUCCUUGCUCUCCUGUUCUUGGUCGUCUUAAGCUCAAGUUUCAACACACAUUCUAGCUUCCCUUCAGUUCAGUCCAUGUUUGUUUGUGUCAAAGGACCAACGCUGAGGAAAAUUGUCUACUAUUGCAGUCUUAUCUAUCAUGAACUUGUUUAUGCAGUAAAACAUAUCAUUGUCUACCUGCAGGUCAUUUAAGGAUAUGACAACAAAGAAUUGCAUUAAGAGGAAAGAUUAGGUUCAUUUGGAGUUAUGAAAAAAUUCUGCAGGACUUUCAUUCUUAGAUAUAUUUAUCUAAAGGAAAUUGUGCUUCCUUUUUGCCCAUGGACAAGAUUUUGAGUGUAACAAAUUCACCAGUUUAGCUACGUAUUAAUUGUUGAAGUCAUUCAAAGAAAAUCCCAAAUUGCUGAAGAUCUCUUUACUGGAUAGUGUCAGCAAAA